rnacentral:lncRNA from 1 species
CGAAAUGAUGAUCAUUACAUCACAUCGGAGCAAUUGACCAUUAUAAGUUUAUGAAGAAAAAAUGUUACUCGAAUGUGGAAAAGUAUCAAAAGUGGUUAAAAUGUUAUGAAGAAAUAACCAGAAAGAAAUGACAAUCCUGAGAACAGAAUGUCACCGAGUCCAAAUGUCAAGAUAGGUGAAUUGAAAAUUCCACCCU